ACGUAGGGUCCAAGCGUUAAUCGGAAUUACUGGGCGUAAAGCGUGCGCAGGCGGCUGUGCAAGACCCAUGUGAAAUCCCCCGGCUUAACCUGGGAAUUGCAUUGGAGACUGGACGGCUAGAGUGUGGAAGAGGGGGGUAGAAUUCCACGGGUAGCAGUGAAAUGCGUAGAGAUGUGGAGGAAUACCGAUGGCGAAGGCAGCCCCCUGGGAUAGCACUGACGCUCAUGCACGAAAGCGUGGGGAGCAAACAG
rnacentral:rRNA from 1 species